rnacentral:rRNA from 1 species
UCCAGACUCCUACGGGAGGCAGCAGUGGGGGAUAUUGCACAAUGGGGGAAACCCUGAUGCAGCGACGCCGCGUGUGGGAAGACGGUCCUCUGGAUUGUAAACCACUGUCCCCAGGGACGAAGAUGACGGUACCUGGGGAGGAAGCUCCGGCUAACUACGUGCCAGCAGCCGCGGUAAUACGGAGGAUCCGAGCGUUAUCCGGAUUUAUUGGGUUUAAAGGGUGCGUAGGCGGAAUGCCAAGUCAGCGGUAAAAUCGCGGGGCUCAAUCUCGCUCCGCCGUUGAAACUGGCGUUCUUGAGUGGGCGAGAAGUAUGCGGAAUGCGUGGUGUAGCGGUGAAAUGCAUAGAUAUCACGCAGAACUCCGAUUGCGAAGGCAGCAUACCGGCGCCCAACUGACGCUGAAGCACGAAAGCGUGGGUAUCGAACAGGAUUAGAUACCCUGGUAC